GAUGAACGCUGGCGGCGUGCCUAAUACAUGCAAGUCGAGCGAACAGACGAGGAGCUUGCUCCUCUGACGUUAGCGGCGGACGGGUGAGUAACACGUGGAUAACCUACCUAUAAGACUGGGAUAACUUCGGGAAACCGGAGCUAAUACCGGAUAAUAUAUUGAACCGCAUGGUUCAUUAGUAAAAGACGGUUUUGCGGUCACUUAUAGCUGGAUCCGCGCCGCAUUAGCUAGUUGGUAAGGUAACGGCUUACCAAGGCAACGAUGCGUAGCCGACCUGAGAGGGUGAUCGGCCACACUGGAACUGAGACGCGGUCCAGACUCCUACGGGAGGCAGCAGUAGGGAAUCUUCCGCAAUGGGCGAAAGCCUGACGGAGCAACGGCGCGUGAGUGAUGAAGGUCUUCGGAUCGUAAAACUCUGUUAUUAGGGAAGAACAAAUGUGUAAGUAACUAUGCACGUCGUGACGGUACCUAAUCAGAAAGCCACGGCUAACUACGUG
rnacentral:rRNA from 1 species